GAGGACUAGGGUAAAGCACACGGC
rnacentral:piRNA from 1 species